rnacentral:rRNA from 1 species
GACGAACGCUGGCGGCGUGCUUAACACAUGCAAGUCGAACGAAGAGCGAUGGAAGCUUGCUUCUAUCAAUCUUAGUGGCGAACGGGUGAGUAACGCGUAAUCAACCUGCCCUUCAGAGGGGGACAACAGUUGGAAACGACUGCUAAUACCGCAUACGAUCUAAUCUCGGCAUCGAGGAUAGAUGAAAGGUGGCCUCUACAUGUAAGCUAUCACUGAGGGAGGGGAUUGCGUCUGAUUAGCUAGUUGGAGGGGUAACGGCCCACCAAGGCGAUGAUCAGUAGCCGGUCUGAGAGGAUGAACGGCCACAUUGGGACUGAGACACGGCCCAGACUCCUACGGGAGGCAGCAGUGGGGAAUCUUCCGCAAUGGACGAAAGUCUGACGGAGCAACGCCGCGUGAGUGAUGACGGCCUUCGGGUUGUAAAGCUCUGUUAAUCGGGACGAAAGGCCUUCUUGCGAAUAGUGAGAAGGAUUGACGGUACCGGAAUAGAAAGCCACGGCUAACUACGUG